AGUGGACUAGGGAGCUCUGCACAGUUUUAUUCAAUGCUGUGAGAUUCUUCUAAUCUACUGG
rnacentral:pre_miRNA from 1 species